UAGAUGUAUGAAAGGAGAGAAAGUUGACAAGGAUGGUAGCGGUCCUAGUGGACUUCAGCACCUACUUCAUGGCAUUUCUAAGCUAGUUUUUUU